rnacentral:tRNA from 1 species
AAUGAAAUAGUUUAGUCGGUCAGAACGUUGGAAUCAUAAUCCAAAUGUCAGGGGUUCAAAUCCCUUUUUCAUUA